rnacentral:rRNA from 1 species
GACGAACGCUGGCGGCGUGGAUUAGGCAUGCAAGUCGAACGGUAUAAACCUUUCGGGGUUUAGAGGGUGGCGAACGGGUGAGUAACACGUAGGUAAUCUACCCUCAAAACGGGGACAACCCAGGGAAACUUGGGCUAAUACCGGAUGCGUGCAAGCAAUGUUUUGGUUGUUAAUGCUAUUCACGGAAGUGAGUAGUGUUAAUGGUUGAGAGCAUUAUUUGCAUAAAAGGUGGCAUAUGCUGCCGUUUGAGGAUGAGCCUGCGUCCUAUUAGUUAGUUGGUGAGGUAAUGGCUUACCAAGGCGAUGAUAGGUAGGCGGCCUUAACGGGUGGUCGCCCACACUGGGAUUGAGAGACGGCCCAGACUCCUACGGGAGGCAGCAGUCGAGAAUAGUCUACAAUGGACGGAAGUCUGAUAGUGCGGCGCCGCGUGAACGAAGAACCUUCGGGUGUAAAGUUCUUUAUACGUGAGCAGUGCCCUUUAUAUGAAUAGUAUAGAGGAGGAUUUAAGCGUAUGAAU